rnacentral:lncRNA from 1 species
CUUUCAACGACGCUGACAGCCGGAAGCUUGCGAAUCACCGCUGUGACUCCUAACCUAUUAGUUAAGCAUUGGAAAGCAACGAGAGUGGAUGUAUUACUGUUUAAAGCACUGCAACCACGUGUGUAAUAUUCAACAGUGUAAUUCCCGGGAAUCAUGGCUAAACUUUCCAAAGAAGAGCUUUUACGAAGAAAACGAGAAAGGGAGAGAGAAAGACGCAGGAAAAUAAGAGAAGAUCCAAUCAAAAGAGCUGAACAACAACAAAAAGAAAAAAAAAGUAUCUGAGGCAACGAAAAAGUAAAA